GACGAACGCUGGCGGCGUGCCUAAUACAUGCAAGUUGAGCGCUUAAGGUUGGUACUUGUACCGACUGGAUGAGCAGCGAACGGGUGAGUAACGCGUGGGGAAUCUGCCUUUGAGCGGGGGACAACAUUUGGAAACGAAUGCUAAUACCGCAUAAAAACUUUAAACACAAGUUUUAAGUUUGAAAGAUGCAAUUGCAUCACUCAAAGAUGAUCUCGCGUUGUAUUAGCUAGUUGGUGAGGUAAAGGCUCACCAAGGCGAUGAUACAUAGCCGACCUGAGAGGGUGAUCGGCCACAUUGGGACUGAGACACGGCCCAAACUCCUACGGGAGGCAGCAGUAGGGAAUCUUCGGCAAUAGACGAAAGUCUGACCGAGCAACGCCGCGUGAGUGAAGAAGGUUUUCGGAUCGGAAAACUCUGUUGGUAGAGAAGAACGUUGGUGAGAGUGGAAAGCUCAUCAAGUGACGGUAACUACCCAGAAAGGGACGGCUAACUACGUG
rnacentral:rRNA from 1 species